rnacentral:lncRNA from 1 species
GGUCAGACGAGUCACUCACGCAUCCCGAAAUCCUGCCAGAGGCUGGAAGCCAGGUGCAUUAAAUGUGCUGAGAUUUACGCGCCCAGGGCACUGGGGACCUGAACCAACAGUUUGUUCAAAAGCAGACACCUGCCUACAACAGGGUUGUUGUAAAGCUGGAUUCAAACACUGAGACUUGUGCGAUGAAAUGGACCCAGGGUUUGUGUUUCAGGCCUGAGGUUGGAGGCAGGAGGCAGGGAGGGACGCUGGGCCGAGGCCUCGUCUCCUGGAGGCUCUGACCCCACUGGUGCAGGGUGGCGUGUGGGCAGGGGCACCUCGGGAGGGGAGGUUUGACGUGGAGCACGGGAGCCGCUUUGGGUGGGAAGACCGAGGCCUGAGGGGCACUCAGGACUCUCUCUAUCCUCGGGCUCUGUGAGCUAGAGUGGGGAAUGGGGGGAGUGGACCGGGAGCCUCUGGGCGGCCGACAAUGGGAAGGCCCCUGACCUGGGAGUCUGGGGGCCAUCACUGUGGCAGCCCCAUGCCCUCUGGGAAGGUCCUCUGCUCUCUGGGUGGGGUCCGUGGGACUGUGUUAUGAGCAGGCCCCUGAUGGCGGGUGGGGUCCUGUCCCUCCGUUCCUACCCAGCCACGGGUGGCAGUUCUGUCUUCCUCCUGCAUCAGCCGACAGCCCCUUCCCAGGAGCUCUGAGUCCGCCUGCUGCUCCGGGGCCGCUGGGGUGAGGACGGGGUGAAGAGGCGCGGCCCUGUCUAUACCAGCACCGCCACUGCCCACUGGGGCCCACAUCCCGCCCACUGGGGCCCACAUCCCACCCACGGCGGCCAGGGACAGACGUCCUUCCUGUGUCUUGUGUCCCUUCACCACUACCAGCCCGGCACGUCCUUUGCCCAUUCUCACUCCGACACUGACCUGAGAUGGGGCUGCCCCACACCCGGGCACACACCCGGGCACGCACCUGGGAAGGCCUGGAUCCUGUUGGCUGGGAAGAAGUG